UACGGAGGGUGCAAGCGUUGUUCGGAAUUAUUGGGCGUAAAGGGCGCGUAGGCGGUGUCGCAAGUCCGUGGUGAAAUCUCUAGGCUCAACUUAGAGACUGCCGCGGAACUGCGGUGCUUGGAGUGUGGGAGAGGGUGCGUGGAAUUCCCGGUGGUAGCGGUGAAAUGCGUAGAGUAUCGGGAGGAACACCUGUGGCGAAAGCGGCGCACUGGACCAACACGUGACGCUGGAGGCGCGAAAGCUAGGGGAGCAAACAG
rnacentral:rRNA from 1 species